rnacentral:lncRNA from 10 species
GCCGAUGCCACUCUUAGGGCCAGGGCAAAGGUGCAUGACAACUCUGAGCAAGUCAAAACAACCGUCAGCAGCGGGAAACCUCGAUGAACAAACACCGGGAGAGUGCAUUCCCAGGGGAGUUCCAGGAGGCCCAUGGCCCCUCCUGUACAGCCCUCCACCGCCCAGAGCCUUCCAGCGCCGUGUCUUCCCCUUGGAGCAUCUGGAGGCCCCAGACAGCACCCGCCUGACGUUCAGCAGAGGGGGAGACCGAGGCCUGCAGCAGAGUGUUUUGUCAGAUGCUGCUCCCUGACCGGGAGUGAGAGGGAACCCACCUAGAGGUGCCAGAUGGGGUGCCAGGGCAGCGUGGCCUGCAGGCCCCUCAGCUCCUCACAGCCCCUGCCCCCAGCCUUCCUGGGCCCAGAGAUCCCCUUGUUUACCCUAGUCCAGGGACAGAGGCUCAGAUGUCAUGCUUGACCCCACAGUUUCUGCAGAUCCUGCUUUGUGACUUCGAGUGAAGUGUGGAAGCGCUGGAAGCACUUAGACCCUGCCUGUGAGUUGUCAUGUAUCAUGUCUGCAAACAUUAAAAAUC